rnacentral:rRNA from 1 species
AAAUUGAAGAGUUUGAUCAUGGCUCAGAUUGAACGCUGGCGGCAGGCCUAACACAUGCAAGUCGAACGGUAACAGGAAGUAGCUUGCUGCUUCGCUGACGAGUGGCGGACGGGUGAGUAAUGUCUGGGAAACUGCCCGAUGGAGGGGGAUAACUACUGGAAACGGUAGCUAAUACCGCAUAAUGUCGCAAGACCAAAGAGGGGGACCUUCGGGCCUCUUGCCAUCGGAUGUGCCCAGAUGGGAUUAGCUUGUUGGUGAGGUAACGGCUCACCAAGGCGACGAUCCCUAGCUGGUCUGAGAGGAUGACCAGCCACACUGGAACUGAGACACGGUCCAGACUCCUACGGGAGGCAGCAGUGGGGAAUAUUGCACAAUGGGCGCAAGCCUGAUGCAGCCAUGCCGCGUGUAUGAAGAAGGCCUUCGGGUUGUAAAGUACUUUCAGCGGGGAGGAAGGUGUUGUGGUUAAUAACCGCAACAAUUGACGUUACCCGCAGAAGAAGCACCGGCUAACUCCGUGCCAGCAGCCGCGGUAAUACGGAGGGUGCAAGCGUUAAUCGGAAUUACUGGGCGUAAAGCGCACGCAGGCGGUCUGUCAAGUCGGAUGUGAAAUCCCCGGGCUCAACCUGGGAACUGCAUUCGAAACUGGCAGGCUUGAGUCUCGUAGAGGGGGGUAGAAUUCCAGGUGUAGCGGUGAAAUGCGUAGAGAUCUGGAGGAAUACCGGUGGCGAAGGCGGCCCCCUGGACGAAGACUGACGCUCAGGUGCGAAAGCGUGGGGAGCAAACAGGAUUAGAUACCCUGGUAGUCCACGCCGUAAACGAUGUCUAUUUGGAGGUUGUGCCCUUGAGGCGUGGCUUCCGGAGCUAACGCGUUAAAUAGACCGCCUGGGGAGUACGGCCGCAAGGUUAAAACUCAAAUGAAUUGACGGGGGCCCGCACAAGCGGUGGAGCAUGUGGUUUAAUUCGAUGCAACGCGAAGAACCUUACCUGGUCUUGACAUCCACAGAACUUUCCAGAGAUGGAUUGGUGCCUUCGGGAACUGUGAGACAGGUGCUGCAUGGCUGUCGUCAGCUCGUGUUGUGAAAUGUUGGGUUAAGUCCCGCAACGAGCGCAACCCUUAUCCUUUGUUGCCAGCGGUCCGGCCGGGAACUCAAAGGAGACUGCCAGUGAUAAACUGGAGGAAGGUGGGGAUGACGUCAAGUCAUCAUGGCCCUUACGACCAGGGCUACACACGUGCUACAAUGGCAUAUACAAAGAGAAGCGACCUCGCGAGAGCAAGCGGACCUCAUAAAGUAUGUCGUAGUCCGGAUUGGAGUCUGCAACUCGACUCCAUGAAGUCGGAAUCGCUAGUAAUCGUGGAUCAGAAUGCCACGGUGAAUACGUUCCCGGGCCUUGUACACACCGCCCGUCACACCAUGGGAGUGGGUUGCAAAAGAAGUAGGUAGCUUAACCUUCGGGAGGGCGCUUACCACUUUGUGAUUCAUGACUGGGGUGAAGUCGUAACAAGGUAACCGUAGGGGAACCUGCGGUUGGAUCACCUCCUUA